AUUGAACGCUGGCGGCAGGCUUAACACAUGCAAGUCGAACGAGUGGCGGACGGGUGAGUAAUGCUUGGGAAUCUGGCUUAUGGAGGGGGAUAACUACGGGAAACUGUAGCUAAUACCGCGUACCAUAGGAUGAGCCCAAGUGGGAUUAGGUAGUUGGUGAGGUAAAGGCGCACCAAGCCGACGAUCUCUAGCUGGGCGGAGAGGAUGACCAGGCACAAUGGGCAUGAGGAAGGGCCCAGACUCCUACGGUAGGCAGCAGUGGGGAAUAUUGCGGAAUGGGGGCAACCUGACGCAGCCAUGCCGCGUGAAUGAAGAAGGCAUUCGGGUUGUAAAGUUCUUUCGGUAGCGAGGCGUUAACUACAGAAGAAGCACCGGCUAACUCCGUGCCAGCCGCCGCGGUAAUUC
rnacentral:rRNA from 1 species